rnacentral:rRNA from 1 species
UACGUAGGGGGCAAGCGUUGUCCGGAUUUAUUGGGCGUAAAGAGCGUGUAGGCGGCUUGGUAGGUCCGCUGUGAAAACUCGAGGCUCAACCUCGAGACGCCGGUGGAAACCAUCAGGCUAGAGUCCGGAAGAGGAGAGUGGAAUUCCUGGUGUAGCGGUGAAAUGCGCAGAUAUCAGGAAGAACACCCGUGGCUAAGGCGGCUCUCUAGUACGUGACUGACGCUGAGACGCGAAAGCGUGGGGAGCGAACAGG